rnacentral:tmRNA from 1 species
GGGCUUGACUGGAUUUGACGGCAAGAUGAGAUGGUACGUAAGCACGCGGAGGCUUCUUGGUUCCCUCCAUAAUCUGAGCUGAGAGAAAAUUAAUUGGCAACAAUGAGUAUGCUCUCGCUGCCUAAUCGAAGUAUAGUAGAUUAUCGGCUUAAUUCUCUUACAAGGUAGGAGAACGGGACGUCGCUCCAAGGAUCUUGUUCCGAAUCCGAGGGUUAAGUGGCGCAGGUUAAAUCGGAAAUAGUUCAUCGGCUGCUCCGGUUGGUGAAUGAAGCUUUAGGGGCUAAGGCAGUGAUUGGUGGCUUGGGUCUUGUCUCUGCACGAAAAUGAAGUCCAAGAUAAGCGUGUAGAAAGCGUAUGGUUUCCUUGUGCGGACGAGGGUUCGACUCCCUCCAGGUCCAC